rnacentral:rRNA from 1 species
GACGAACGCUGGCGGCGUGCCUAAUACAUGCAAGUCGAACGCUUCUUUCCUCCCGAGUGCUUGCACUCAAUUGGAAAGAGGAGUGGCGGACGGGUGAGUAACACGUGGGUAACCUACCCAUCAGAGGGGGAUAACACUUGGAAACAGGUGCUAAUACCGCAUAACAGUUUAUGCCGCAUGGCAUAAGAGUGAAAGGCGCUUUCGGGUGUCGCUGAUGGAUGGACCCGCGGUGCAUUAGCUAGUUGGUGAGGUAACGGCUCACCAAGGCCACGAUGCAUAGCCGACCUGAGAGGGUGAUCGGCCACACUGGGACUGAGACACGGCCCAGACUCCUACGGGAGGCAGCAGUAGGGAAUCUUCGGCAAUGGACGAAAGACUGACCGAGCAACGCCGCGUGAGUGAAGAAGGUUUUCGGAUCGUAAAACUCUGUUGUUAGAGAAGAACAAGGACGUUAGUAACUGAACGUCCCCUGACGGUAUCUAACCAGAAAGCCACGGCUAACUACGUG